rnacentral:rRNA from 1 species
UACGUAGGGUGCAAGCGUUGUCCGGAAUUAUUGGGCGUAAAGAGCUCGUAGGCGGCUUGUCGCGUCGAAUGUGAAAACUCGGGGCUCAACUCCGAGCUUGCAUUCGAUACGGGCAGGCUAGAGUUCGGUAGGGGAGACUGGAAUUCCUGGUGUAGCGGUGAAAAUGCGCAGAUAUCAGGAGGAACACCGGUGGCGAAGGCGGGUCUCUGGGCCGAUACUGACGUGAGGAGCGAAAGCGUGGGGGAGCGAACAGG